UAGUGUCUUAUCCUUCAAUCAAACUCAUUCAUUCGUCCACACUAUGUUUUAAAAUGUGUGACCGACAGAAGUCUUCUUCUGAAAUUCCUAUCGUCGACGAAUUUAUCUAUAUCGCUUUGACGGGGAGAUCUUCCUACUCUACUUUGAUGACAUUGUUUUUAAGUAUAUCUGCUUGCGGACAUUAUUUUGUCUAUUUAAGUAUUAUAUGUUUAGAUUGAAUCUAUAUUUAUAUAUUUAUUUUACACUUUAUAUCAAUUCAUAAAAAUCUGAAUGUUACUAUUUACUUUCUUUGCAAACUGUUCUACAAUGACAAAAAACUAAACCUAAAGGAAUAUUUAUGCUGAUGUCAUGUUUUAAAAUGUGUGUAUUAUUACAGAUCAGUAUGGCAUGUGAAUGUACCCUGUUUGGGAGACAAUUGACAGUUGACUGCUUGAUUGCUCGCAUUAGAUAUGCCACUGAGAAUCAAAUGCCACAAUUAUUAUAGUAAUGAAGAAGAAAAGUGUAGCGAAAACAUAUCCAGAUAAAAUUCCAAUGAAUUCUUGCUGAUUUUUUCUCCAAAGCAAAGAAAACAUGUUUGUUGUUGACUUGCAGCCCAUUGAUUGAUGAUGAUGAUUAUAUGUGCCAUGAUAAGUGCAUCAACAGAUGUCAAUAUAACUUUAUUUAGAAAAAAUUAAAUGAUUCACAACAAUUUCAACGCAGAUGACAUUGUAGUAAUUGAUACCAUCAACUGAUCCAUCAAAAAAAGUAUGCCAUGAACUAUAUUUUACCACAUUAGGAAGUUUAAGUGUAUUCUGCUGAGCUUUCAUGUAAGCUGUGAAAUUCUUUCAUGUUCUUACCUGCUGUUGGGUAGUUGUUUCCAAGUCUUCUUUAUUAAAUCUUUCAAUCCAUUUUCUUCAUUUAUGCUACCAUUAAUUUUUUCCUCCCUCAAUUGAAAGUUACCAAGCAUUUAUGAGCAUAAAUAUGUUUACUGUUUACAUCAUAGGAUACAACAUUAGUUUUUAAGGAACUAACAAUUAAAGUUGUUAUUGUUUUUUAGCUGUUACCAGAAAACACACAGCUAAAGAUCUAAAAUAGAAUUUAUAUAAAGAUAUCUCUGUGUGUCUUUAUGUAUGUGUGUGUGUGAAACAGAGAGGGGGCUGAAUGUGUGAGUGUAUGUUUGAUAUGUGUUCAAAGAUCUGUAUAUAAAAUAUGGUAGUUACUCCCACUUUAUCAUUAGUAAUCAAGGCCUUUCUUAAUUUGACACUAAUUGCCAUUUCUAUACAACAUCCAUGUAUAAAACUUUACCAAACAGACACAUAUCCCAUGAAGUAUUUAUUUCUUACGCUUCUUUUAAGUUGUUUUGAUGACCGAGGUCACUAGUAAGCUCCGCGUCAUCGCUUGCCCUCCUCCAGCUUGAUGACUUUUCGCCAAUGAACGCGAGGACGAAAUUUUUCAUCAGAUAAACUUUUUGCUCUGGGCAAAUAUCCGUUCUUCAUUGCAGCUUGUCAACAUUAUUUUACAUUAUCUUAUAUUACAGGCCGUACUACUCUCUUCCUUCGUCUUGUCUUCCACUCAAACCGUGCAAAGUCGUGUGUUCGCGUGCGUGUGUAAUAGAGGGAGACAACAAGAGAAAAACAAAAUGAAAGAAAAGUUAUUGAAUGUACAUCAAAACAAAGCUUUGUUUUCAGCCUUUUACAAACCUGUACUUAUAAUUUUUGUACCAACAAGUCCACACAUGAAGACUCACCACCAACAUUGCCGUUUACAGCGCUGGAACUAUCAAGGUAACUGUGUGUCCUGAUCCUGGACUUUCUCUUGACAUCAACACUAACAAGUCUAUUAACAAGUCUAUUAACAAGUCUAUUAACAGGAUGUCUUUCCCUUAAAAACGAUAUGAACCUCGAUACUAACCGGUUGCUCAGUGUUUUUUAUUGGCGGCAUCUACAACCACACCAGGUAAAGACACAACUUGGUCGCCAUCCUCCACAUGAUGAGGGUAAGCUUCAUGCUCUCUACUAAAUACAUAAACGCUCUUUAUAAAUACUUAAGUCAAAUCCACCAUGUAUGUGUGAGUUUUUUUCCCAAUUGGAAUCUACUAAUAUUUAACACCCUUCCCCUUUUAAUGGUUUUCGAUAUUAAUGCCCUGGUCAAAUGAAGCUUGGAGAGACUGGUCACGUGGUGAGCAUUGCUUGUAUUGACAUCAAACACACUGUGCUUUAUUUUCCUGAAAAUGUUUCUAAAACCAGUUCAGGAUUCUGUCGACAGUCGACCUUUCUGCUCCACACAAGUGUCCGUUCAGCCAGAUUACAGAGAGCAAACACAUUAUAAACCGGACAAACACACAGUGUCAACUGUAAACAUCUUCCUGGUUUCUUCCACGGAGCAGAGACAACAUACAACAUACUUGAUAUCUACUGCAAGUCUACACAGUCGCCUGUUUAUUUGUAAACAUGAUGAAGAUCUCAGUCUUCUUGCUGCUUGUCUUCACUGAGAUGGUGUUGUGCUAUACAAGAGAAAGCACUUGUGAAAGUUUUCGGUGGCUUGACAGUAAAGGCAAAGGAAGUUGUGAUUUCAAGACAGACUUCUGCGGUUGGACAAACAACUACAAGUGGAGAGUCGGCUGUGCUACAACCAUUACAGAAACUGCUGCUUUGUGGAAAUUAAGAAUAAUGAGAUAGAACAGCAACUGAUGUCACCACAGCUUUGUGGUACUGAGGACGUCCACUACACAAUGAAUCUCAGCUAUGAAAUUCCAAAACCAAACAAGUACACACUGUCUGUGUAUCUGAUGACGGACCGAAAUGGGAAAAUGUUAUGGCAGACUGGUAACAAGCAGGACUUUUUAACUGAAGAGCUUCACUUCACUUUGCCUCAAGUACCGUUCAAGAUCAUGAUUGAAGGCGAACAGAAGGCGAAUAAGUGGAAGCAGGGUCAAAGCAUACUUAUCUUAGACGUUUUGUUUCAUCAAACGAACAUCAGAUCAAACAAACAAACACGCGUUAUCGAAAGAAAGACCUCUCUAUCUCCACCUGUUGUCACCAAGACAAAGAUCAAGGAUAACGGAAAUAAUUAUCGUACAAACGAUCUUUUGAUGACCACGACAACCACAUCAAUGACGAUGGAUUUUACUUCUCUAUCGGCAGGCAUCACACAGGGAUCGUUGACAGACAAUACCGUACCUGCCACGACACUUUCGCAGUCUAUCAGCAGUAAGUACCCUUUAAUAAAGACAUUUUUAUUGAGAUUAAUGUAGAGUUUCUUAUGGUAUGUCUUGGAACUGCUGAAACAGUAUUUACUAAUUACCUUAAGGACCUUUUAGACAAACCAGAAAUUGUUAAAUGUAAGACUACAUUCGAACAACCAUCUACAUUGUUGUCGUGUAGAAAAUAUUUGCUAGAAUAAACAAUGUGUCUGGUUAUAAAUAACCUUUAAAGAACCUUCUCCCCUACCUCCACAAAAAAUACCACAACUGUUAUACUUCGCUUGCGACUCUUGUUUACAAUGAAAUCAUUCUCUAAAAAUAAAUGCAUGCUGCAGACAAAAGUCCUUGUUACUUGAGCAAAAAGGAAAUUUACUUUAAGUGUCGAUGAGAUAUUAGAAUUCCUUGUCAGCUUAGUGCAGCUGCAAACUGAUUAAACAUAGCAACAUGGAACAGAACAGAUCCCUGGGGUUAAAUUAAUGCAGGCUGAUCGUGUAAGAAUUACCCUGUCACCAAACGUUUACAUGUUGUCACAAGAUGUGAUCUUGUUUGGACCUUAGAUACGCUAAUAUAAACAUAUGUCCACUUUACAUUACUAUUUUAUGUUAUAUGUAUCUAGUGCAUAUUGAUAUAGUAUGAUUUUCUUGUAUAAGAAAUAGACAAACUCCCUUUAGGACACUGGCUACAUUAAAAGCAAAUUUUACUUGUGCUACCACUAUCCUUCAGAAAGAAUUGUUACUGUAAUUGUCAUUGUAGUCAGCUGUGACAUGUUAAUAACUACAACAUGCAUCUCACUGCAGGCGUUAAUUCAACGGAUGGUUUUAUGAUUACCAUUGGCCACACAAUAAUGUUGAAAACUUGUUCUUAGUAUUCCUCUUCCUUUUUUCUUUGUUCUCUUACUGUAUCAUCUUCGAGACAAAAGACUAGUAAUUAAACCGUUCAUAUAUACAUAUAGAACAGAGAAGCCGUAAUUUGCUGAAACGAUUUAGUCCAUACACGCGGGGUAGUAGACCUCAGGUAAUUUAAUGCGCCUGAAUGUGCUAAUACAUUCUAAUACACAUACAGGCCAGUGACGAUUGAACACGCGAGCCACUAACACAAUACAAAAAUAAAUGUUUGGUUGUUACUUUUCAUUCAAGUUGUUUUGACGACAGAGGUCAUCAGUAAGCUUCUCGUCAUCGCUUGCCCUCCUCCAGCUUGAUGACUUCCCGGCAAUGAGCGCGAAUGCGAAAUAGUUCAUCAGAAAAAACUUCUGGGCUGGGCACAGUGUGUUGACAAUAUCCGUUCUGUAUUGCAGUUUGUCGACAUUAUCUACUUACAGGCCUACUAGUCGCUUCCUUCGUCUCGUGUAUUACACUAAAACCGUGCAAAGUCGCGUGUUCGCGUGCGUGUGUAUUAGAGGGAGACAACAAGAAAGAAACAAAAUGAAAGAAAGAAAAGCCGUUGAAUAUACAUCAAAAGGAAAGCUUUGUUUUCAGCCUUUUACAAAUAUGUUCUGAUAAGUUUUUGUACCGACAAGUCCGCACAUGAAGACUCACCAGCAACAUCGCCGUUUACAGCGCUGGAAAUGACAUGGUAACUGUGUGUCCUGAUCCUGGACUUUCUCUUGACAUGAACACUAACAAGUCUAUUAUCAAGCUGGCUUUCCCUUAAAACGAUAUGAACCUCGAUAUUAACCUGAUACUCUGUGUUUGUUAUUGGAGGCAUCUACAACCAAAUGAUGGGGGAUAUACUUCUUGUUCGCUACUGGAUACAUAAAUGCUGUUUAUAAAUACUAAAGUCAUAUCCAGCCUGCAUUCUUGUGUUUGUUUUCAAUUAGAAAAUACUAAUAUUUAACACUUUUCCCUUAUCACUGGACUUCUAUAUUUAUACAAUGGUUAAAUGAAGCGUAGAGAGACUGGUCACGAGAUGAUCAUUGCUUACAUUGGCAUCAAACACAUUGUGCUUUAUUUUCUUAUAAACGUUUCUAAAAACAGUUCAGGAUUCUGUCGACAUUUGACCUUGCUGCUCCAGACAAGUCAUCCAAUCAGUAAGAUUACAGAGAGCAAAUUAUAAACCGGACAAACACACACAGAGUCAACUGUAAACAUCUUCCUGGUUUCUUCCACGGAGCAGAGACAACAUACAACACACUGGGCAUCUACUGCAAGUCUACACAGUCGCCUGUUUAUUAGUAAACAUGAUGAAGAUCUCAGUCUUCUUGCUGCUUGUCUUCACUGAGAUAGUGUUGUGCUAUACAAGAGAAAGCACUUGUGAAAGUUUUCGGUGGCUUGACAGUAAAGGCAAAGGAAGCUGUGAUUUCAUGACAAACUUCUGCGGCUGGACAAACAACUACAAGUGGGAGAUAGGCUGGUGUUACAACCAUAACAGAAACUGCUGCUUUGUGGAAAUGAAGAAUAAUGAGAUAGAACAGCAACUGAUGUCACCACAGCUUUGUGGUCGUGAGGACGUCCACUACACAAUGAAUCUCCGCUAUGAAAUUCCAAAACCAAACAAGUACACACUGUCUGUGUAUUGAUGACGGACCGAAAUGGGAAAAUGUUAUGGCAGACUGGUAACAAGGAGGACGUUUUAACUGAAGAGCUUAACUUCACUUUGCCUCAAGUACCGUUCAAGAUCAUGAUUGAAGGCGAACAGAAGGCGAAUAAGUGGAAGCAGGAUCAAAGCAUACUUAUCUUAGACGUUUUGUUUCAUCAAACGAACAUCAGAUCAAACAAACAAACACGCGUUAUCGAAAGAAAGAGCUCUCUAUCUCAACUUGUUGUCACCAAGACAAAGAUCAGUAAUAACGGAAAUAAUUAUCGUACAAACGAUCUUUUCAUGACCACGACAACCACAUCAAUGACGAUGGAUUUUACUUCUCUAUCGACAAGCCUCACACUGGGAUCGUUGACAGACAAAACAAUAUCUACCACGACACUUUCGCAGUCUAUCAGCAGUAAGUACCCUUUAAUAAAGACAUUUUUAUUGAGAUUGAUGUAGAGUUUUUUUUUACUAUGUCGUGGAACUCCUGUAACAAGAUUUAUUCAAUUACCUUAGGGACCUUUUAAACCAACCACAAAUGUUUAAACCUAUGACUAUAUUCAACCAAAAGCUUACAUUGUUGUCAUGAAGAAUAUAUUUACUAGAAUAAAUAAUGUGUCUGGUUAUAAAUAACCUUCAAAGUACAUUACCUUCUCCCCCACCUCCUCAAAAAUACAAAUGAUAUACUUUCCUUGCGACACUUGUUUACAAUGAAAUAAUUCCCCAAAAGUAAAUGCAUGCUGCAGACAAAAGUCCUUGUUACUUGAGCAAAAGGAAAUUUACUUUAAGUGUCGAUGAGAUAUUAGACUUUCUUAUCAGCUUAGUGCAGCUGCAAUCUGCUUAAAGCAUAGCAACAGGGAACAGAACAGAUCCCUGGGGUUAAAUGAUUGCAGGCUUAUCGUGGAAGGAAUUACCCUGUCACCAAAUGUUUACAUGCUGUCACAAGAUGUGAUCAUGUUGGACCUUAGAUACGCUAAUGUAAACAUCUGUCCACUUUACAAUUACUACCUUAUAAGUUAUAUGUAUCUUAAUAGAUAUAGUAUGAUUUACUUGUUAAAGAAAUGGCUUACCGCCCUUUAGGACAAUGGCUACAUUAAAAGCAAAUUUUACUUGUGCUACCACUCUCCUUCAGAAAGAAUUGUUACUGUAAUUGUCGUUGAAGUCAGCUGUGACAUCCUUCUAUCUUUGCAGUGUCAGGUAUGUACAUUCUGAUCACGAUGACACAGUUAAUAACGACAAUAAUUUUACUGUAGUCAUUAAUUCAACUGAUCAUUGUAUGAUUACUCCUGUCCGCUGGAGAAUGUUGCAAGCUUUUUCUUAGUAUUUCUCUACCUUUAUUUUGUUUUCUUACUUUAUGAUCUUUGAAGACAAAAGACUAGUAAUGAAAUCGUUCAUAAACACAUAUACAUAUAUAGAUAUAUAUAUAGAGAGAGAGAGAACAGAGAAGUUGCAAUCUGCUAAAAACGAUUUAGUCUAUCCACGAAAGGUGGUAGACCUAAGGAAAUUUUUUUAUAACCGAUUAUUCCACUCUCUUUAACUGUUUGUAAUUACUUGAAUUAUUUUUGCUGAUCAUGUAGUAGCAGCAGUAUAAUCAAAAAGCCUAAAAGUAUAUUUUUCUGCGUAUAAUACUUCUACAGAGAAUGAAACCCAUGCGAGUGAUGCCACCACCUCUGAUACACAGUCAGCAAACUCCACCAGUGAUCUGACAACAGUAGCAGCAGCAGUGGCAGGGGCUGUUAUCGCUUUUCUUAUUUCCGUUAUCAUUGUCGUCGUACUCAUCAGAAGAAAAACAAAAAACACUCGAAAUUCGCUGCCUACAGUUAACCCUUGUCUCCUUCCUGUCAACACUGCUUGUGGACACCUCAACCCUUCUGUUGCAGCGCGAUCCGACCCAGACAACUAUGAUUGUGUGCAAGAUGCUCCUAGAGGAAAACAACGAGGUGCAGCUGGAGCAACCGGCUCCUCAACGUUGGCUGCUGACGACAUCUACAACCACACACACGACAGUGACAACAAGCAGCUUGGUCGUCAUGGUGAAGGUGGAGGAGGUCUAUACUCCACUUUGGCUACUGAAGACACCUACAGUCAUCUGCAAGGCAAGGAGCACCACAGAUUUGAUCGGCAGGGUGACGGCAAUAAAAACCCACAUUUAGUCACAGCUCCUGAGGACCAUUACAACCAUCUGUAACAUCCUAUCUUCUGGGGCGAAAUUACUGUAAGACAGUCGAUCAUGGGACUGCAUGAGCAUCACUCACACAGGUGUAGUGUCUACCUCCUGACAUGUUUUGCUAACGCCCUCAUGUUUCGUGACAUCCUUCAUUCAAACUCAUUCAUUCGUCCACACUAUGUUUUAGAAUGUGUUACUGACAGAAGUCUUCUUUGAAAUUCCUAUCGUCGACGAAUUUACCUAUAUCGCUUUGACGGGGAGUUCUUCCUCCUUUACUUUGAUGAUAUUGUUUUUAAGUAUAUCUGCUUGUCGACAUUAUUUUGUCUAUUUAAGUAUUCUAUGUUUAGAUUGAAUUUAUAUUUAUAUAUUUGUUUAUUUUACACUUGAUAUCAAUUAUAAAAAUGUUACUAUUUACUUUGUGCAAACUGUUAGACAAUGACAAAAAACUAAACCUAAAGGAAUAUUUAUGCUGACGUCAUGUUUUAAAAUGUGUGUAUUACAGAUCAGUAUGGCAUGUGAACGUACCAUUUCGGGAGACAAUUGACAGUUGACUACUUGAUUGCUCGCCUUAGAUAUGCCACUGAGAAUCAAAUGCUACAAUUAUUAUAGUAAUGAAGAAGAAAGGUGUAGCGAAAGCAUAUCCAGAUAAAGUUCCAAUGAUUUCUUGCUGAGUUUUUCUGCCAAGCAAAGAAAACAUGUUUGUUGUUGACUUGCAGCCCAUUGAUUGAUGAUGAUGCUUAUAUGUGCCAUGAUAAGUGCAUCAACAGAUGUCAAUAUAACUUUGUUUAUAAAAAAUUAAAUGAAUCUAUUCUAUUUUUUCCUCCCUCAAUUGAAAGUUACCAAGCAUUUAUGAGCACAAAUAUGUUUACUGUUUACAUCAUAGGACAAAACAUUAGUUUUUAAGGAACUAACAAAGUUGUUAUUGUUUUUUAGCUGUUACCAGAAAACACACAGAAGCUAAAGAUCUAAAAUACCAUUUAUAUAAAGAUAUCUCUGUGU